GGGCCAGUGGCGCAACGGAUAAUGCGCCUGACUACGGAUUUGGAGAAUCCAGGUUCGAAUACUGGCUGGCUUG